AAAAAAAAACACAUUUCCUGGAGUUUUAAGAGAUUCAAUAGACUCAAGUGAACCUCCCUCACUUGGGUAUGCAGAGACUGUGAACAAGCAGAUUAGGAAGAUCAAAAGCUUCAGACUUUGAUGAGAAGAACGUUUCCUGUUUAGCCAGGGGUGAACAGCUACACCCAGGACUGAACCCAAAUUGCAAGUUUAACACCGAUGCAGACAAGAUACAUCAGACACACGGCCUGACUGCCCCUCAUGCUUUCUAUGGAAGUGAAUUCCACAGCAUCACCACCUGAGUUUUCUCCGUUUUCCUCCAUGAAAGUGAGGUCAUUGUGAUUUCCUUAUAGUCAACUCAUUUCCUCAGAGGAGCAGAAGGGGAGAAGGACUAGCUGGGGAGCUGCAGACCUGCAACCAGUCUCGUUUUUCUUAUUUAAAUUCCGAUUCCCUGGGAAAGACGUGUGUUUAUGUUAUUUUCAGAAACGGGCCUGUUCGUAAACGGGUCGGUGGUGUUGCAGAAUAAUAUACAGGACUCUCCCAAGUGCGAGGAGAGGUUGACCCAGGACUUGAGAAGAACGGAGUUACUUUAAAAAACAAAACAAAAGCAAAGUUUUAUACUGUUGAAAGAGUAAAUUCACAUUUUUCUUUUCUCUCUCUCUUUUUUUUUAUUUAUUCAAAGGCUAAAUAUUAACUUAAUUGUUCAGAAAGAAUGACAACGCAACAGUAUUUUAAAAUUCUCUUUAUUAAACCAGUUUGAGAUCAGUUCACUUGGUUUUGGAAAAAAAAAAAGAACCUUCAAUUCGUGAGCAUGUCCAUGCCUGGAGGAGUUUGGGACUCUAACGGUGAGAGUGGGAGCCUGUCCGUGCCUGGGUCUUCAUGGGUGGGUUUUGGGAUGAUUCAAGCGCAUCGCAUUUCUCGUGCACUCAGUUUCUAGGGUUGUUACAUCAACUCCACCUCAGAUCAUUGGGCAUUAGAUCCCAGAGGUUGGAGACCCCUACCUUAAUCCUUCUCAUGAUGGAUAGUGAUGCUUUGUCCCACCCCCAGUCCUUAGAAAACUUGUUCUCCACAAAACAGGUCCCUGGUGCCAAAAAUGUUGGUGACCACUGGUUUGCAGAGCAGAAGGACUUACUUCUGGCGGAUUCUUCACCCGCUGAGUCAUCGGGGAAAGCCCUGAAGCGAUUUGUGCUUCCAGAACCCAGGAAAGACUCUUCUAAAAGGAUGCAUUCAGUAAGACCACACUCAACAGGAGCAGCGCAUGGGGCAGCCUCAGGCAGGGAGGGAUGGGGUGCCUGA
ensembl:lncRNA